rnacentral:rRNA from 1 species
AUUCUGGUUGAUCCUACCAGUAAUAUACGCUUGUCUCAAAGGUUAAGCCAUGCAUGUCUAAGUACACACUUUCAUAAAGUGAAACCGCAAAAGGCUCUGUACAACAGCUGUAAUUCCUUAGAUCAUAAACUCAGUUACUUGGAUAACUGUGGAAAAUC